AACAGGCAAAAACCAAUGAUUCCCUAUGGGCAUGGUUCUCACCUGAGCGAUUUACAGCGCGUACGAACGCGCUGUAAAACGCCCUACGCCCCAAGAAGUACAGGAGCUUCUUUGGGGCGUAUUGUUGCGCGUUCCCGCACAUAGACAUUAGCGGGAAUGCGCGACAAUGGGCGCACACCUGUCUCUGU